rnacentral:rRNA from 1 species
GACGAACGCUGGCGGCGUGCUUAACACAUGCAAGUCGAGCGAUGAAGUUCCUUCGGGAACGGAUUAGCGGCGGACGGGUGAGUAACACGUGGGUAACCUGCCUCAUAGAGGGGAAUAGCCUUCCGAAAGGAAGAUUAAUACAGCAUAAGUUUGUAGUAUCGCAUGAUACAGCAAUUAAAGGAGCAAUCCGCUAUGAGAUGGACCGGCGUGGCAUUAGCUAGUUGGUGAGGUAACGGCCCACCAAGGCGACGAUGCGUAGCCGACCUGAGAGGGUGAUCGGCCACAUUGGGACUGAGACACGGCCCAGACUCCUACGGGAGGCAGCAGUGGGGAAUAUUGCACAAUGGGGGAAACCCUGAUGCAGCAACGCCGCGUGAGUGAUGAAGGUCUUCGGAUUGUAAAACUCUGUCUUCAGGGACGAUAAUGACGGUACCUGAGGAGGAAGCCACGGCUAACUACGUGCCAGCAGCCGCAGUAA